ACGAAGAAGCUUUAUUUCCCUCAAUGUCCUUUUGGCAUCUAUAAUGUUAUCAAAUGCAUUGCCGAUCUUCUUAAUAGCAACCUCCUGAAGCGUCUCUGAAUUGACAGCAGCACUGGAGAAGAACGGCAAAGAGAUGUCAUAAUAAUAAAU